GAGAGGGAGAGAGCGGCCGACGGUGACGUAACUGUCGCUGAGGAAAGUCCCCCCACCCACCGGGCACGCAGCCGUACGCAAGUACGGGUGGCGAGAGUCACGGCAAUGGAACAGAAACGACACGGCCUGUUCUCAGUCAUGAUGCGGUCGAGCUGAAAAGCAAGAAGCAUGGUCUCCAUGCGAGAAACCCGCUGAGCGAUAACGGACAGGAAACGUUGAAACGGCGAAUCCCUGCGGGUGCAAGCCAGAACAGGACGAAGGAGCGCCCGGUAUCCGUCCGGGUUUGGCGCACGAGCUGAAUGCCGCAAAAACAGAAGGGGGCUUACUCCUCCCACUC
rnacentral:RNase_P_RNA from 1 species